rnacentral:lncRNA from 1 species
CGUCUAUCAGUGAAAUGUCUCCUUCCAUGAUAAAGCAGCCUACUCUUAAUUACUUACAUAUGGUUGAAUAACCAUCGGUUAUUCAGGUUAAAUAGUAUUUACUACUGAGAGGUAGUUUGAGGGAAUUGACAGUGCAAGAAAAAUUAAAAGCAGUGUCAUGCUUUUCAGUCACCUGAUUAUUUGCAUGUGUUGAUACGACCUGUGGAGUAUGUUUAUGGAUGGACUAGCCAACCCAUGGUUUUCUAGGUGGAUCCAUGUGAAUAGAUUGCUGACAGCAACAAUCCUUGACCUGUAUAUAUCCCCUUCCAUGUCUCAAAUAAUUGUCAUGUAGAAACAAAAAUGGAAUAACCAAUAAGUGGCCAUUUCCCUAUCCUGAGUAAAUUAACAAGCACUUCAGCAUACAUCCGUUUUUUUAUUGUGACUUUAAUUGGUCAGUGUAUCUUGUGAUUAUUUUUUGGGUAAUGCCUUCAUCAGCAGAUUGAGGCUUCCUGGGGUCAUGGACAACACUAAUUUCAUAGAUGGGUUAGUUUCUCAUGUAAAUUCAUCUUUCAUGAUGUUCCGUGAUAAUCAUGGUAGACUGAAGAUAUCUUAUCUAUGCAGUAUAAUAGUAGCGUUAAAAUUCAAGCUCCUUUUGGCAUUGUAACUGUGCUGUCUAAUUAUCAUGCAACCCAAAUAUCUAACUAAAUUGUGCUAUGGAGCUUGCACUAGCAGAAUGAGUUGCCAUCCUGAAUCAUAUGUGUAGGCUAGAGAGAAGUGUGGAAAUAGAUGUCGUUUCACAAGGAUAUUAACAACGGUUGCUUUCAUAUGUUGAUUUAUCUUUCUUCCUGUACUCAUUUGCAAAUAUCUAUCUAUGCAGGAGAGGUUGUAUGCUCAGGGAGGCACAAGGUCAGACACCAUGCUUUGAUCCUUAUGUAUACCUGUAACAUCUAUUUGAUUAUACUUAUAUGCUGGUGUAUUCUUUAUAUGCUUACAGUUUUAGUGGUGUGUAGAAAUAAUUCAUGCUUGGUUAGAUUGACAUAGCUAUUUGCCUAAUAAUAUAUGCUGGUGAGUUCAUGUUGGAUGCACAUUGAGCUUUCAAUUUUAAUCUUAUCUUCCAAAUGCUCAUGGUAUGUCACUUGCGUCAUGAAUUUAAGCAUACCUUGGUUUGAUUUCCAAUUUAUCUAUGAAUAAGAGUUUAGUAUUUAGAUGCAUGGGCCAGAUGUUUAUGCUCAUGUGUGCAAACUGACAGGGAGACCAAGAGGGAAUUUAAGCAUGAAUACACUCAGUGAGCAAUUGAAGAUAAUUUGUUCAGGAUGUCCAUGAACUGUAAUUUUAGGGAACAGGUUACUUCCUGUCUUUUCGUUUGCUUUCUCAUCUUUUCGUUCAUAUCCUAGAACUGUUGAAGCGGGAGGUGUCUUCACAUAUAUGUUCAUGCCGGAUACUUACAUUAUCAGACUAAAAUGAUCUCAGUGAGAUCACUGCUUGUGUCUGGACCUUAUUCGAUAAAUGCUUGAUUUUCUUCUGGUUUUUCCAUGGAUUGGCCAGUUUAAUUUACUUUGAAUUAUGAACUUUUUAAAAGACCAAAAAUCUCAAAGAUCUGUAACCUGAUCUACAAUUGUGAUUCUGUUUUUGCAUUGAUAAAUAUCCUUUUAGUCACACUGGGCAAGUAUAGUUCUAGGAUUAAUGCUUUGCUCUUUUUCCAACCUUAUCUUUGUGAUUAGAACAGAGAAUGGGAGCGAGGUAUAGCAUGAUGGCGGCACACACAAAUCCAUGUACUGUUUAUUCAUCCAUGGUGGUAAUAUUUAUUCUCGCAGAACUCUCCUCCCUCCUUCUCUUCUUCUCUUUCUCGGUCUCCCACUCUCCAUUUCUAUAUCAUAUUACUGAUACACUUCAUGUAGGAAGAAAGAUACGUGUCUGGUAUUUUCCUUCUCAUUGAUAUGCACCCGACCAUGGCUAUUUGUACUAAUUGUAUAAAUGACUUAGAGUUUGGAAAGGGAACUUUGUCUCGAAACGGUUAGAACAUAGCUGAAUAUAUCAAACAUGCUAAUGGCAUUGGAUUGACUUUUUGAGAAAUAUAAUAGAAGGUUAACCCUUCAAUAUUGUAGGUUUUACAAAUAUCUUUUGACAGUCCGGAUGUGUGUUUUCCUUUGACCCUGCAAAAGAAUUGUAAAAGGAUGAGCAGUUUUGGAAAAUACCAAAGGCACGUCUAAGCACAGUAGAAUGUCCACAUAUCUCUUUAUCGCUAUAUAAUUCGUUUCGGUACCAUAUGACCUAAUGUUUUUCAUUUUCCUUCUACUCCAGACCAGGCAAGCAACGGCAAUGCUGGACAGGCUACUCUCGCACCAGACUCCCUUUAGGGUAGUUACCCACGGGCACUCACUUCUGCCGUUUAUUAUUACUUGUGAUUCCGCUUGUUGUGACUGGCUUGAUCCAUGUUGCGGCCCAAUUAUUAUUUUUGUUUAGUUGCGAUGGAUCGUCUUGGCUUGCUUUUGGCACACCUGAUUCCACUACCUUCUGUUAUUGCUUGGACCAGUUUACUAUGUACUGAACAUAUUUAUAUCAAUGUUGUGCUUCUGAUAUAAUCUUGCUAUGUUAUACUGGUGAUUUCCAGUGAUUACUCUGAUUUCCUACUUGCGCCAGUGAGUAUACAA